CGCGGCCUAUCAGCUUGUUGGUGAGGUAACGGCUCACCAAGGCAACGACGGGUAGCCGGUCUGAGAGGAUGGUCGGCCACACUGGGACUGAGACACUGCCCAGACUCCUACGGGAGGCUGCAGUCGAGAAUCUUCCGCAAUGGACGAAAGUCUGACGGAGCGACGCCGCGUGGAGGAUGGAGGCCUUCGGGUUGUAAACUCCUGUCAGGGUUCAAAGAACGGGUCGUAGUUAAUAUCUGCGAUCUUGACAUUAGGCCCAAAGGAAGCACCGGCUAACUCUGUGCCAGCAGCCGCGGUAAGACAGAGGGUGCAAACGUUGCUCGGAAUCACUGGGCAUAAAGCGCACGUAGGCGGCCGUGUAAGUGCGGUGUGAAAGCCCCCGGCCUAACCGGGGAAUUGCAUCGCAUACUGCACGGCUAGAGCUUGGGAGGGGAGAGUGGAACUCCUGGUGGAGCGGUGGAAUGCGUAGAUAUCAGGAGGAACGCCGGAGGUGAAGACGACUCUCUGGCCCAAUGCUGACGCUGAGGUACGAAAGCCAGGGGAGCGAACGGGAUUAGAUACCCCGGUAGUCCUGGCUGUAAACGAUGGGCACUAGGUGUAGGAGGUAUCAAUCCCUUCUGUGCCGUAGCUAACGCGUUAAGUGCCCCGCCUGGGGAGUACGG
rnacentral:rRNA from 1 species